GGCGGCAGGCUCCACUGUGCUCGCGAGCGGGGCACGCCGGGAUAUGUAGUUUCCGGCGCCUGCCCUCCGGGGGGUCCUGUGCUGCCCACUUCACAGUGACUUGUCUCCGCCUGGUGAACUCGCGGUGUUCUGCUAAUCUUGGCGGAGCCUCAAUGUGAGAUGCAGAGACUGCCCAUCAAACCACAGCCAUAUUCAUCAAGCUUUGAGCCGAUCCGGUGAAGAGAAAUGAGCACUGCAUACAUUAUUCAGAGAAAGGGACCAAAUAAAGCUUUUAAUAGGAAAUGAAAAUGUAUUUUAAAGCGUCAGUGCAAACAGCCAAUUAUUUUCAUUAUGUAUGUUUUAUCUUGCAAUGACCUCUGGUUUAUCAGUGGAAUUAAGAGAUGAGUGAUACAUGUAUCCACGUGUUUUUGUGUAAUGAGAGUUUUCACCUUCUCCUCAAAUCUCCAUAUUAAGCAGCAGUCAGGGAACCAAACUGAUUAAAUUCGUGUUUUUCAUUUGUUUUCCCUUAUUCACUGUCUGGCAAACCGUAUAAGAACUUAAGCAAUUACAGAGUUAGAGAAAAGGACCUGAAGUCUUCAAUAAACUUGAAAUCAGG
rnacentral:lncRNA from 1 species